GAAAUAUGAAGUACAAAAAAAAGCUGCUAACUUUUUAAUUAAGCGGUUAAAUUCCGUUUAUAUUUCU
rnacentral:tRNA from 1 species